rnacentral:rRNA from 1 species
AUUGAACGCUGGCGGCAGGCCUAACACAUGCAAGUCGAGCGAGCGGCGGACGGGUGAGUAAUGUAUGGAGAUCUGCCCGAUAGAGGGGGAUAACUACGCGAAAGAGUGGCUAAUACCGCAUACUAGUGGAGCGGCCGAUAUCGGAUGAGCUAGUUGGUGGGGUAAAGGCUCACCAAGGCAACGAUCCGUAGCUGGUUUGAGAGGACGACCAGCCACACUGGAACUGAGACACGGCCCAGACUCCUACGGGAGUCAGCAGUGGGGAAGUUUGCACAAUGGGUGAAAGCCUGAGCCAGCCAUCCCGCGUGUAUGAGAAGGCCUUCGGGUUGUAAAGUACUUUGAGCAGAGAAGCGGUAUCUGCAGAAUAAGCACCGGCUAACUACGUGCCAGCAGCCGCGGUAAUUC